rnacentral:rRNA from 1 species
UACGGGGGGGGCAAGCGUUGUUCGGAAUUACUGGGCGUAAAGGGCUCGUAGGCGGCCAACUAAGUCGGAUGUGAAAUCCCCAGGCUUAACCUGGGAACUGCAUCCGAUACUGGAUGGCUUGAAUCCGGGAGAGGGAUGCAGAAUUCCAGGUGUAGCGGUGAAAUGCGUAGAUAUCUGGAGGAAUACCGGUGGCGAAGGCGGCAUCCUGGACCGGCAUUGACGCUGAUGAGCGAAAGCUAGGGGAGUAAACGGG